AGUGAACGCUGGCGGUAGGCCUAACACAUGCAAGUCGAACGGCAGCACAGUAAGAGCUUGCUCUUACGGGUGGCGAGUGGCGGACGGGUGAGGAAUACAUCGGAAUCUACUUUUUCGUGGGGUAUAACGUAGGGAAACUUACGCUAAUACCGCAUACGACCUACGGGUGAAAGCAGGGGAUCUUCGGACCUUGCGCGAUUGAAUGAGCCGAUGUCGGAUUAGCUAGUUGGCGGGGUAAAGGCCCACCAAGGCGACGAUCCGUAGCUGGUCUGAGAGGAUGAUCAGCCACACUGGAACUGAGACACGGUCCAGACUCCUACGGGAGGCAGCAGUGGGGAACAUUGGACAAUGGGCGCAAGCCUGAUCCAGCCAUACCGCGUGGGUGAAGAAGGCCUUCGGGUUGUAAAGCCCUUUUGUUGGGAAAGAAAAGCAGCAGGUUAAUACCCCGCUGUUCUGACGGUACCCAAAGAAUAAGCACCGGCUAACUUCGUG
rnacentral:rRNA from 1 species